AACAUAAACCACUUACAGCUUCAGAAAGGAAAGGAGACAGAAGCAGCAACAUCUCAACAACCAAUUUCCAAUACUAUGAAUCAGAUCAUUUCAAAGCAGUUCCCAGAAACAUGAAGGGAAAGACUACUGAUGAGAGAUGCUUCCAAAUUAAAAGUGGCAAAGGACUCAGGAUAUUUAAGGAUGAGAUUCCAUUGCCUGAUCUCUUUGUCUUUACAUUCACUUAUCUGCAGUCUGACUCUCUCCUCUCACCAUGGAAUGGAAACUUAGAGUAAGUUCGUAUGUGGCAGUGCUUUGAAAUUCCAGAUGCACCAGAGAGCUUCAAAAACAAACAGAAAACAGAAGACUCAGGGCUACCCUAAAUCAACUGAUUCAUAAUUUCAGAAUGAGAUCCACAGGCAUUGGCAUUUUUUAGAUGAAAGAAAGCUUCCCAGGUGUCUCUAGUGUGCAGCUACGGCUGUGAUCCCCUGAGUUAGAAGCUGAGAAUGUGUGAAGAGGUGUUGCAUAAGGAGUAUCUUGCCUGAUAAGAUUUAUGCAGAAGCCUCU
rnacentral:lncRNA from 1 species